AUUUGAUGUAGAAGCAAAUAAAACUUUGAAAUAUUUACAAGAAUUUGCACUGAAACUUUUACAUAUUGUCUACCUUUAUCUGGUGAUGUAUAAAGCAAAAUUUAUGGCACUGUCCGACACUUAAAUUGAUUUUUUAUCGCCUUUCAACACGGCAAACUUGUUGUUGCCAUGCAUAAAUUACAACUCGAAUCGCAGUCGCAUAUUAAUGAGUGCAUUUACCAACACUAUUUUUACCAAGCUGGAGCGGAAUUCAAUUGGACAGUAAUAUUCCAAGCCAUUCAUAAAGUCAAGGACUCCUUAGUAGAUAUUCAGAUUACCCCACGUUUUGAUUUACUAAAAGUUAUUUUGUCA
rnacentral:sRNA from 1 species